AAUCUCCUGCGGUGUUCGGGCGGGGAGCAUAAUCUCUUGGGACAAACUUAUAAAAAGGGAUUCUGACUUUCGGUGCUUGAGUUGCCGUUUUACGACAGGAUUCGCCGAAGAGGUUUCCCACUUGGACUUUAGGUUCAAGAGAUUUUUCUCCAAGCGGCAUCGCGGGUUUUAA
rnacentral:other from 1 species